UACGGAGGGGGCUAGCGUUGUUCGGAAUUACUGGGCGUAAAGCGCGCGUAGGCGGACCUGCAAGUCGGGGGUGAAAGCCCGAGGCUCAACCUCGGAACUGCCUUCGAUACUGCGGGUCUCGAGUCCGGGAGAGGUGAGUGGAAUUCCUAGUGUAGAGGUGAAAUUCGUAGAUAUCAGGAGGAACACCGGUGGCGAAGGCGGGUCUCUGGGCCGAUGACUGACGCUGAGGAGCGAAAGCGUGGGGAGCGAACAGG
rnacentral:rRNA from 1 species